GCAAUAUGUACUAUCUGUGGCUGUAGCAACGAAGAUGAGUUCCAUGUAGUGAUUGGCUGCACAAAAAGCAGGGCCUUGCGUCAUGCCUUGAGAGAGGUAUGGGAGCUCCCGCCUGAAUCACAGUUCAAAAACACUGGACCAGAUUGGCUGCAGAUGAUUCUAAGCACAGGAACUGAGAACAUGCAGAGUAGAGUGCUUCCCUUACUCUGGAGAUGUUGGCACCUUCGCGAGGAUGGCGUGCAUGGGGAAGGAAAAGAGCUAAUCAGACAGUCUGUGUUGUUUCUGUUGCGGUAUGAGGAAGAACUGAAAAAUGCAGGUCUGAACAGUGGCUCAGAGUUGGGAAAGGAGGUAGUGCUCCGUCAAACCCUAAACAUCGAGUUCCCAGGCGAGAUAUCAUGUAGUGGUCUCACCGGCUCAUGGUUCAGCCAAAAUCAAUCGGAUGCGGCGUUCCUGCCUAACAGUGGUAAGAGCUGGGCGGGUGCUGUUGCAAGGAAUCACCAGGGCCUUGUACUCCUGUCAGUUGGCAAAGAUCUGUCCAUAUCGGACAGUGUAGAGGAAGCUGAAGCAAGAGCGGCCUUGAUUGGUCAAGCGCUGGCUACAGUUUCAGUAGGCCGGUCAAACUGGAGCUAG
rnacentral:rRNA from 1 species